rnacentral:rRNA from 1 species
AUAACCUGCCGUGCACAGGGGGAUAACACUUAGAAAUAGGUGCUAAUACCGCAUAAGCGCACAGUUUCGCAUGAGACAGUGUGAAAAGCCUGGAAGCGAUUCCUGGCGGUGCAUGAUGGAUCCGCGUCCGAUUAGCUAGUUGGCGGGGUAAAGGCCCACCAAGGCAGCGAUCGGUAGCCGGCCUGAGAGGGUGGACGGCCACAUUGGGACUGAGACACGGCCCAAACUCCUACGGAAGGCAGCAG